rnacentral:rRNA from 1 species
UUAACAAAAACAUGUCUUUUUGAGUUAUUUUUAAAGUCUGACCUGCCCACUGAAUUUUUAAAUGGCCGCAGUAUUUUAACUGUGCAAAGGUAGCAUAAUCAUUAGUCUUUUAAUUGAAGGCUGGUAUGAAUGGUUGGACGAAGUAUAAGCUGUUUCAUAUAAAUUUAUAUUAGAAUUUUAUAUUUUAGUUAAAAAGCUAAAAUAAUGUUAAAAGACGAGAAGACCCUAUAAAUCUUUAUAUUUAAUAUAAUUUAAUUUUUUUGGAUUUGUUUUAUUUUUAUUAAAUUAAAUAUUUUGUUGGGGUGAUGUUAAAAUUUAAUGAACUUUUAAUGAUUUGGAAUCAUUUAUUUAUGAAUUAUUGAUCCGUUAUUAGUGAUUAUAAGAUUAAGUUACUUUAGGGAUAACAGCGUAAUUUUUUUGGAGAGUUCAUAUCGAUAAAAAAGUUUGCGACCUCGAUGUUGGAUUAAGAUAUAUUUUCAGGUGUAGCUGCUUGAAUAUUAAGUCUGUUCGACUUUUAAAUUCUUACGUGAUCUGAGUUC